GACAAAAAAAAAAAAACAUUUUUAAGGGUCUAAGUCUGCUGGAUAAUGGAAUGCCUGCUUAAUCUGGAAGCCAGCCACUCCACUGUGUCAGAGGAAACACCGUACACCUGGCGAAUGUGUCAGCGUGCAUGCACCUGGCCCGCUAGAGCAUGAUGGGACAAGGACAUCCCUGCGGGCCAAAACCCUCCCCUAACCUGGACAACGCUGGGCCAAUUGUGUGCCGCCCCAUGGGUCUCCCGGUCGCGGUCUUGUGGCACAGCUAGCAACUGCGAUGCACUAAUAUGAGGAAAUAUAUUUUCGUAUAUAAACUGACGGCCAAAUUAUGACACAAAUCAUUUGAACUGCGAGGCUGGUAACUCUAAUGAACUUAUCCUCUGCAGCAGAGGUAACUCUGGGUCUUCCUUUCCUGUGGUGGUCCUCAUGACAGCCAGGUAACUCUAAUGAACGUGUCCUCUGCAGCAGAGGUAACUCUGGGUCUUCCUUUCCUGUGGUGGUCCUCAUGACAGCCAGGUAACUCUAAUGAACGUGUCCUCUGCAGCAGAGGUAACUCUGGGUCUUCCUUUCCUGUGGUGGUCCUCAUGACAGCCAGGUAACUCUAAUGAACGUGUCCUCUGCAGCAGAGGUAACUCUGGGUCUUCCUUUCCUGUGGUGGUCCUCAUGAGAGCCAGGUAACUCUAAUGAACGUGUCCUCUGCAGCAGAGGUAACUCUGGGUCUUCCUUUCCUGUGGUGGUCCUCAUGAGAGCCAGGUAACUCUAAUGAACGUGUCCUCUGCAGCAGAGGUAACUCUGGGUCUUCCUUUCAUAGUGCUUGACGUUUUUUGCAAUUGCACAUGAAGAAACCUUUAAAAAGUUCUUGAAAUUUUCCAGAUUGACUGACCUUCAUGUCUUAAAGUAGUGAUGGAUUGUCGUAUCUCUUUGCUUAUUUGAGCUCUUCUUGCCAUAAUGUAGACUUGAGCUGUGUUUGAAUACCCAUUCUAACAUAGUGUAUACUACAUAUUUAAUGAGUAUAUACUACAUACUAUUAGUUCAUUUUAGUAUACUGGAAACGAAUGGUAUCCUUUCAGUUGAGCUACGCCUGUCUACCGGAAAGUUGAUGCUUUCGCUAUGCAACCGCUUGUUAUUUUAACAAAUUGCUAGCUAAACAUUUUACGAUUUCGGGUUUGUUCGUAAAUUCAGACUCUCGGAGCGUUCAGAGCGCACACUGGACUGGCGGAGGAGCUACGGUUGAUCCGAGGGUUCAACCGGCAGUCAAGCACUGGCUAACGUUGGCUAGUUAUUCCAGACACAUCAUGAGAGAACACCUCACUCUGACCAUUUUACUCCCCCAAUCAGAGCUGGUUAGGUUGUUUGUGUUAUCCAGAGCGUUGGUGACUAAAUGUGCUGCUGGCAACAAUUUAAUUACGCUUUUUUUUUGCUGAUGUUUACUGACACCGGCCAUAUUCAACAGGUGUUGAAUGUUUGUAAAUUCAUCAGUUAUUCUGCGGGAGAAAUCAGAGUAGAUAGCUAAGUGGUAAAGUUGUACGAUUCAAUGGCUAAUGAUGUCAAUAAACGUUGUUGGGUAGUUUAGUUAAUAUACUGCCUGGCAUGUUCGAUGUAUUAGUAGCUAGCUAACAUACCGGUACAUACUGCUGUAAUGCUAAUGCGGUUCGUAAGGACAGCAUAGCUAACAAAUUGUCAGCCAACAUAACGUGUAACGUAUUUGAAAAGGCAUUACUUUAUUACAUAUUUCAAUUUUCUUAACAUAUGUUUAUAAGCAAUGAAUUUGUGUCUGACUUUGGCUGCAUAUUUUCCACCAUUUUUAAUCUAAUCUGAAAACACGAAGCCACGCCCAUUUUCUGAAUAAUUGCAUUAUGGGUCCUAUAAGCAUGGAAAUAGUGUCCACUGCACGUAUACUUAGUAUUUUGGCGAAUUUAGUACGUCAUCCGGGAGCUUUUGGCAUACUAACCUAUGACCAAUAAGUAUACUAUAUACUCAAUUCACUUCACAAAUAGUAGUGUUAGGGAAGUCAGUAGAAGUAUUCAAACACAGCUUUGGUCUUACCAAAUAGGGAUCUUUCUGUAUACCACCCCUACCUUGUCACAGCACAACUGAUUGGCUUAAACAAGGCACACCUGUUAAUUGAAAUGCAUUCCAGGUGACUACCUCGUGAAGCUGGUUGAGAGAAUGCAACGAGUGUGCAAAGUUGUCAUUAAGCCAAAAGGUGGCUAC
ensembl:lncRNA